rnacentral:rRNA from 1 species
CGCAUGAUGUUCAUGUAAAAGACGGCUUUUGCUGUCACUUUUGGAUGGGCUGCGGCGUAUUAACUUGUUGGUGGGGUAACGGCCUACCAAGGUGAUGAUACGUAGCCGAACUGAGAGGUUGAUCGGCCACAUUGGGACUGAGACACGGCCCAAACUCCUACGGGAGGCAGCAGUAGGGAAUCUUCCACAAUGGACGAAAGUCUGAUGGAGCAACGCCGCGUGAAUGAAGAAGGCCUUCGGGUCGUAAAAUUCUGUUGUCAGAGAAGAACGUGCGUGAGAGUAACUGUUCACGUAUUGACGGUAUCUGACCAGAAAGCCACGGCUAACUACGUGCCAGCAGCCGCGGUAAUACGUAGGUGGCGAGCGUUGUCCGGAUUUAUUGGGCGUAAAGGGAACGCAGGCGGUCUUUUAAGUCUGAUGUGAAAGCCUUCGGCUUAACCGAAGUAGUGCAUUGGAAACUGGAAGACUUGAGUGCAGAAGAGGAGAGUGGAACUCCAUGUGUAGCGGUGAAAUGCGUAGAUAUAUGGAAGAACACCAGUGGCGAAAGCGGCUCUCUGGUCUGUAACUGACGCUGAGGUUCGAAAGCGUGGGUAGCAAACAGGAUUAGAUACCCUGGUAGUCCACGCCGUAAACGAUGAGUGCUAAGUGUUGGAGGGUUUCCGCCCUUCAGUGCUGCAGCUAAC